UCCAGGACAGCCAGGGCUAUACAGAGAAACCCUGUCUAAAAAAAAAAAAAAGCCUUUCAAUUUCUGCCUGUUUCGAGCAUGAUUCUAGUAUCUGCUUUCUGCAAAAAAUAUCAAUAAGGUUGAUAUUACUGGCCAACCAGCAGGCAUCAGGCUUUGUGUUAUACCAUUUAACAGCACAUCUGAUCUAUUUCUCUUAUACCCAUUGAGCAGAUAGAGAAACUGAGAUUCAGAGAGGUACCUGUUUACCCAAGGCCUGCAGUUAGAGGAGUUAGCAUUUGAACUAUCAUCUUUGUGACCAUAAAGUUCAGAUUCCUUGUUAUGUCAAGGAACCUGCCUCUUACUUCCUUAGGAAGUUGCCAUUUCUCUGGUAGGAUGAAAACACCUGAGGGUAUGGCUUGGAGUUUCGUCUGUCCUCAGAGCCUUGGGAUGCUUGGGUUGGGAGUCCUGGACUCAGGGAUUGCUCUUUUCUCUUUGUUACAGAAACCCACACUGGGGCCCUCUUAGCAAGAGGUCAGGGUCACUGCCAGCCACACACACCUCACUGCCAGCUAAUGAGUAAUUGGGAGAAAGAGAGAGAGAGAGAAAGAGAAAGAGGAGAGAGAAUGGAGGAAGAAAACAGAACCAAAGGAGCUAGGAGGAGGCUUCAGGUUUACCCUAACCAUCUUUACCGGGGUUGCCAGUGGCUGAAGUGUGCAAAAGGCAGAAGUCAUGUGUCCAGUGACUCCCCAGUGUGCCCCUGGUCGUCUCAGGUCACCUCUCCGGAGCCUGUUUCUCUGCUCAGAAUAAGGGGGUAAGAAUUCCUGGGAAGGCAAAGAGAUUAUACAAAGGCCAGCUCUGUUUUCCUUCAGGUGUGAGGGCUGCUGUUUUUGAGAUAGGAUGGCACUAGAUAGCAGAAGCUGAUCCUCCUGCCUCAGCCUCGAGUGCUGUGCAUAAACAGGUCAGGCCCCGGAGCUGUUCUCCUGGCAGCUGCCCUGUGCUCUCACUUUCUACCUCACUGUGUGUGUUUAAGGCUGUGCUCUCGCUAGCAGUG
rnacentral:lncRNA from 1 species